GGUUAAGGGCAGACUCAUCCGUCAAAUGGCCUAUAAUCACAGCUCCUGCCUCAGAGGGUGGGUGAGGGGCCUCAGGGGAUGAUGAAGCCUUGGGCAACCCUAUCUUUCUGCCCCAGCCCCAGUGGCCUCCGCUGUGAGGGGACAAGCCCAGAUCUGCUCCUCACUCCCCAACCAACCCCCAUCCUCAUGAAGCCAUCUCCUCUCCAGCUUUCAACUUCCCCACCUGUCAAAAGGAAACAAGUACUUGUGUGCAGCCACCUCCAGCAGAUUCAAGCCCAGCGGGCACUAAGAUAACCCCUGGCUACUCCCUGAAGGACUAAGGAAAGAAUGUCACGUAUCCAGACUGCCUGACAUCAAGUAUUCAGACCACCUGUCAUCUAGAGGAUGACUAUCUGGCACCAAUCCAGAGGCCAAGAAGGCAGGACUGGUCUUCUCAAGAAUCACCUUUUUACCCAAAGCCUCCAGACUCUUUGAAUUCCUGUGACCGCCCCACAGCCCCAAGAACAAUAACAACCACUUCAAUAAGGAGGAUAAGAAAAACAACAGCUCUCAUGUGUCAUGUGCUUUCUCCUGUGAUAAGCGCUUUGCAAACACACUUCACUGGAUCCUUAAAUUAGUCUAUGAGAUGGGUACUACUGUUAUCCCCACUUUCUAGAGGGAGAAGUGAGAUUUAGAGUACAUGGGUGCCCGAGCUGGGUUCCCCCCAGGCCUGUCUGCUGAAUAACCAAAGGAUGUUCUGCUCCAAAGCCCCACGCCUGCCUACACCCACACAGGGACUUCCAUGGAUGGGUGGCUGUGGCCAAUACCAGUGCUCCUCCCCGACCCUGCUUGGAGUCGGUCCUUUCUCUGGGCUGCUCCCCCCUGGUCUGGGGAAGAUGGCCUCUGCUUCAGCCCUUCCUGCCCCAGGGUAGGGGUCCUGGGUGUGACCCUCCUUCUUGCCCCUUCCCAAUCUGCACUGUUAGGAUUUUCCCCUUCCACAGGGUCCUGGAAAGAGUCCUCAGAGACCUCCUCAACCUGCCACCCCAGCUCCCAAUCUACAGAGACUGAAACCAGGGCCCAUAGAGGGGACAGGACUUGCCCAACACUCCCACUGGGUCCCAGGCAGAGCCAGGAUAGGAGCCAAGCCUGGGGACUCCAGCCUCUGUCCCUCCGGGCAGAGAAGGAGCCGGACGGAUGCGCCUCUGAAGAGAGGCGGUGAGAGCCACUGGCAGGUGAGGGCCUGCACUCAGCAGCGGCUCCGUAAGCACAUGCCUGGGCGGUGGGUCUGGAACCGGAAGUACCUGGUUCUUCACAGACAGCGGCUGGAGUGGUCAGGCUGGCCCAGGUGACACUGGACAUGGAUGUUGUGGACAGAAAAGGGGCCACAUGUUAAACCUAAAAAGCUCAGGAGACUGAAAAUAACCACAGAGGAUGGCGUGA